CAGAUCUAUAACCAGCCACCUGACCAUAGCCAAACAACCAGCCAGCCCACCAGUAGCAUUCAGCCCCUCAGCUGGCCCUGAGGGUUUGGAGACAGGUCGAGGGUCAUGCCUGUCUGUCCAGGAGACAGCCACAGGCCCCCGAAAGCUCUGCUCCACUUGGUGUGUGGGAGAAGAGGCCGGCAGGUGACCGAAGCGUCUCUGUUCUGAUAACCGGGACCCGCCCUGUCUCUGCCAACCCCAGCAGGGACGGCACCCUCUGGGCAGCUCCACAUGGCACGUUUGGAUUUCAGGUUCGAUCCGACCGGGACAAGUUCGUCAUCUUCCUCGAUGUGAAGCACUUCUCCCCGGAGGACCUCACCGUGAAGGUGCAGGACGACUUUGUGGAGAUCCACGGAAAGCACAACGAGCGCCAGGAUGACCACGGCUACAUUUCCCGUGAGUUCCACCGCCGCUACCGCCUGCCGUCCAACGUGGACCAGUCGGCCCUCUCUUGCUCCCUGUCCGCCGAUGGCAUGCUGACCUUCUGUGGCCCCAAGAUCCAGACUGGCCUGGAUGCCACCCACGCCGAGCGAGCCAUCCCCGUGUCGCGGGAGGAGAAGCCCACCUCGGCUCCCUCGUCCUAAGCAGACAUCGCCUCGGCUGGCUCCCCUGCAGCCCUGGCCCAUCAUGGGGGGAGCACCCUGAGGGCGGGGUGUCUGUCUUCCUUUGCUUCCCUGUUUUUCCUUUCCACCUUCUCACAUGGAAUGAGGGUUUGAGAGAGCAACCAGGAGAGCUUAGGGUCUCAGGGUGUCCCAGACCCCGACACCGGCCAGUGGCGGAAGUGACCGCACCUCACACUCCUUUAGAUAGCAGCCUGGCUCCCCUGGGGUGCAGGCGCCUCAACUCUGCUGAGGGUCCAGAAGGAGGGGGUGACCUCCGGCCAGGUGCCUCCCGACACACCUGCAGCCUCCCUCCGCGGCGGGCCCUGCCCACACCUCCUGGG
rnacentral:sRNA from 1 species